rfam:Human immunodeficiency virus type 1 proviral partial pol gene for POL precursor 1, isolate 99FR-714mal
UUUUUUAGGGAAAGUUUGGCCUUGGAGCAAGGGAAGGCCAGGGCAUUUCCUU